rnacentral:rRNA from 1 species
UACAGAGGGGGCAAGCGUUAUUCGGAAUUAUUGGGCGUAAAGGGCGCGUAGGCGGCUUGGCAAGUGGAUGGUGAAAUCCCUCGGCUUAACCGAGGAACUGCCGUCCAAACUGCUUCGCUUGAGACCGGGAGAGGUGAGUGGAAUUCCCAGUGUAGCGGUGAAAUGCGUAGAUAUUGGGAGAAACACCAGUGGCGAAGGCGGCUCACUGGACCGGUACUGACGCUGAUGCGCGAAAGCGUGGGGAGCAAACGGG